GUCUAUGGCCAUGCUACCCUGAAUAAGCCCGAUCCCGUCUGAUAUCGAAAGCUAAGUAGGAUCGGGCCUGGUUAGUACUUGGAUGGGAGACCACCUAGGAAGGCCAGGCGCUGUAGGCA
rnacentral:rRNA from 1 species